CUUUGAAGCUGCGGAGUGAUAAGGCCCUGCAGACUAAAAAACAUCGUGUUAUCACAGCAUGACUCACUUUGCUAGCAACUUUCUUGACCGGUCCGGUCCGAUGAGCCGCUAGAUCUGGAAACAGAUGCAGGGUCAGCUGCUGACGGUUUGAGGCUGUGAAUAAGUCAUUUCCCUGGUUCUCCUCGCCUGUAACUGGGAAGAAUAUUUUCAGUUGCAUAGGAUCGCAGUGAGUACUGUGUUAAAUGAAUGUGAUUCAGGAACCCAACGUGGUGGCGCAUGCCUAUAAUCCCAGAACGGGGGAGGGGGGGGGGAGGCAGGAGUUCAAGGCUAGCCUGGGCUACAAAGUGAGUUUACACUAGUCAGAACUGCACAGCAAAAACCUGCUCCAGAAAGACAACAAACAAACACAAAGGUCGACAAGAGAUCUGUGCUGGGAAGGCCCGAAGGUCAGUGGUGGGAGCCAGAAACUCAGCGCCAGCAGGAUGAAGGAUCUGUGCCAGCAGGCUGAGGGAUCUGCACUGGAGCCAAGAAGCAAACUCAAAACAAGGACCAGGGCUUCCCUGAAAAAUACCACAGCCAUUCUCAGCGACCAUGAGGUCCUGAGCUCCUCUGACGAUAACAGCCAAACUCAAAUCAGGAAAGAAACUUGACAAGCUCCUCGAGGAGAACCAACAGCAAUGGGAGACCCAACAAUGCUACUUUUCCUCUCCAGUUUUCUUUUUCAUGUUGCUGGCGACAAUCCUCAGGUGGGCCUUCCAUACCCAGCACCACGCUGAUGCAGUUCAGCUGGGGGUUACAACCCACCACAUGGCCAUAAUGUGUUUCUUGUUUGUUUGUUUGUUUAAUGUUUUCUGUUUUUAAACUUUUUUUUUUUGUCUUUUUGAGACAGAGUCUUGCUAUGAGGUUCAGGCUGGCCCUGGCCAACAAUCCACCUGCCUCAGCCUCCCUGAGUGCUGGGAUUACAGGAGUGUGACACCACACCCAGCUAAGACUUCUUUCCUUUUGGUUUUAUUUUUGGUUUUGUUUUUGGUACCAGGGCUGCUGCUGAGCUAAAUCCCUGCCCCUCUAAACUUUGAAACAAGGCUCUCACUAAAUUUCCCAACCUGGACUCAAAUUUAUAAUCCUCCUGCCUCAGUCUCCCAGAGGGCUGAGAUUAUAGAUGUGUACCACCAUCCACUCAAAUUUUUUUUUUCCAUUUUUAUCAGUACCAGGAAUCGAACUCACAACUGCCUACUUGCAAGGCAGACACUUAUGCCGCUGAGCUAAAUCCCCAACCCCACCCACUCAAAUUUUUUGGUUUGUUUUAAUAUGCUGAGAGGUUCUAAUAUGGAAAAUAAUCACAUCAAUAUUUCUAAGUCAGAUUGGUCUAUAGUUUAUGCUGAUUCAGUGUCACCAUCACAGGGGCUUUCACAGUGUCUUCCUUUCUACGCUUUGGGAUGGUAGGUGGCGUUGGGAUUGCCUGAUCUGUGAAAGUUGAAAGAAAUCCCCCCCACCCCAAGCCCUCCUCGGACCCAGAGUUUUCUUAGUGUGAGACUCUACUUAGGCCCUUUACAUUUGCCAGUCCUGCAGGGAUCACUUCUGGGAGGUUGCAUUUGCUAGACAAUUGUCAGCUGCACAUAGGUUUUCUGAUAUUUUUCAUAUAGUUGUGGCACAGGAUUUUAAAAACUGGGAAAACUGGCAGAAGGCUAGACGCCUGCCUUUUCUGUAAAAUAUGGGAAAAUGUGGCAGUACUGGGCCCUGCCCUGUACCCAGGGGCAAUCAGGCUAUGUCUGUCGUUUUCCUUCUGUUCCCAGCAUUGACCCUGAGUCCUGCCAAAGCCCUGAGGUAAGAAGAAACUAGAUAAAGUCUGCAUUUUGGUGGUUGUUGGGGCCUACGGUGGAGGCCAAAAACAGUGAGAUCUGCUCCAAAACCAGCAAUGCUGCACUAACUGUUUGGGCUGAGGUCCCAGUUAUUAGGAAGGACUCACUGACCUCAGAGCAGUUCUUAGCUUGUGAGCUUCCUUUGGGUUUUGUUGAUUUAGCUUUUUUGUUUUUGUUUGUUGGAUUUUUGAGACAGGAACUCACUAUGCAGCCCAGGCUGGCCUCAACUCACAGUGAUCUUCUGGCCUCGGUCUCCUGAGUGCUGGAAUUACAGAUGUGAGCCACCUUGCCCAAUUUGAAAAUUAUUUUAAACAAUUAUUUAUGCAGUUCUUUAGAUGAUAGCUGCAUGAAGGUAGAGCUCAUGUCUGUCGUAGCCAGUGACACAGAAUGCGGAACACAGAAGCGUGCGAAAACACAUGCAGGCUUCAUAGCGCUGACCCAUGGUCCAGCUGGCGAGAGCCAGUAUUCAUUUUUUUUUAUGCCUUGGACUUCUAAGAACAAUGUUUUGUUUUUGAGAGUUUUACCGUGUUGUCCAGGCUGCCCUUGAAUGCUAGGGCUCCAGUGAUCCUCCUGCCUCAGUUUCCCGAGUAGCCGGAAGUACAGGAGCAUACUGUUGCCCCCAGCCAUUGUCAUGAGAAUCACUUGGUGUCUUCAUUCAGAUGGCUACAACAGAUUAGCACAGAGCAGUGACUCAAGCAACAAACACUUGUUUCCUAGGGUUCCAGAGCUGCAAGUCCAGGGCACUUCUGCCUCUGGGGGUGGCCGUCGGCUCAUCACUCCCUUGCGCUGUGGGCAACCUGGAGCUUGCCUUCCUACCAGGACGGAAUUCCCUCCUAAGACCCUCACACUGGCCCCCGAAUUGCAGCAUAAGCAUUGAGGGAAAGAGAGCCAGGCAUGGAAGAUCACAAGUGUGAGCCCAGCCUGGGCAAUUUAGCAAGACCUUGUCUCAAAAUAAAAUGAAAAGAUUGGCUUAGUUGAAACACAUGAGUUCAAUCCCCAGUCCUGAAAAGAAAUGUGGAAUGGGUAAAACAUUCAGUCCAUAAUCCUUCGGUUUUAUUUAAUGUAUUUUCCGGCACCCCAGGCCCAAAAAGCAUGCUUGAGAAAUACAGAUUAACUAUUCAAAUUUUUUUGGAAAGAUGUGAUAUUUUAAUACAUGGGAGUACUACUCAGCCCUAAACUCUGGGGCUGGGGAUUUAGCUCAGCAGCAUAAGUACCUGCCUUGCAAGCACGGGGUCAUGAGUUCAAUCCCCGUACCCAAAAAAAAAAACCAAACAAACUUGAGGCUUCUGUAGGUAGAUGGAUGGAACUCGGUAAGUGAAAUGAAUCAGACUCACAUGUGUAAACAUUGUAUUAUCUCCCUAGGAUGAGAAGUUGAAAGAAAUUGUGUGUGUGUGUGUGUAUUAAGAGUCACACUACUAAUUUCUCUUGGUUUGUAAAAAAAGGUUUGUGUUAAUAUUUUCUGGACAAUUAAAUGCUGUUAUCAUGUUCUCUGAGUAACUAAUUUAAAUAUAACAAUAUGCAAUAUAUUAA